GCCUACGGGGGGCAGCAGUGGGGAAUAUUGCACAAUGGGGGAAACCCUGAUGCAGCAACGCCGCGUGAGUGAAGAAGGUUUUCGGAUUGUAAAGCUCUGUUAGCAGGGAAGAGGAAGGACGGUACCUGCAGAGGAAGCCACGGCUAACUACGUGCCAGCAGCCGCGGUAAUACGUAGGUGGCAAGCGUUAUCCGGAAUUAUUGGGUGUAAAGGGUGCGUAGACGGAAGAACAAGUUGGUUGUGAAAUCCCUCGGCUCAACUGAGGAACUGCAACCAAAACUAUUCUCCUUGAGUGUCGGAGAGGA
rnacentral:rRNA from 1 species